UACGUAGGGUGCAAGCGUUAUCCGGAAUUAUUGGGCGUAAAGAGCUCGUAGGCGGUUUGUCGCGUCUGCUGGGAAAACUGGGGGCUCAACCCCCAGCCUGCAGUGGGUACGGGCAGACUAGAGUGCGGUAGGGGAGAUUGGAAUUCCUGGUGUAGCGGUGGAAUGCGCAGAUAUCAGGAGGAACACCGAUGGCGAAGGCAGAUCUCUGGGCCGUAACUGACGCUGAGGAGCGAAAGCAUGGGGAGCGAACAGG
rnacentral:rRNA from 1 species